rnacentral:rRNA from 1 species
GACGAACGCUGGCGGCGUGCCUAAUACAUGCAAGUCGAACGCAGUGGGGACGGGUGAGUAACACGUGGGUAACCUCCCAUCAGAGGGGAUAACACUUGGAAACAGGUGCUAAACCGAUACUGAUGGAUGGACCCGCGGUGGAUUAGCUAGUUGGUGAGGUAACGGCUCACCAAGGCCACGAUGCAUAGCUGACCUGAGAGGGUGAUCAGCCACACUGGGACGGAGACACGGCCCAGACUCCUACGGGAGGCAGCAGUGGGGAAUAUUCGACAAGGGACGAAAGUCUGACCGAACAACGCCGCGUGAAUGAAGAAGGUUUUCGGAUCGUAAAACUCUGUUGUUAGAGAGGCGGUAUCUGAACAGAAAGCCACGGCUAACUACGUGCCAGCAGCCGCGGUAAUAC